rnacentral:rRNA from 1 species
UACAGGGGGGGCAAGCGUUGUUCGGAAUUACUGGGCGUAAAGGGCUCGUAGGUGGCCAACUAAGUCAGACGUGAAAUCCCUCAGCUUAACUGGGGAACUGCGUCUGAUACUGGAUGGCUUGAGUUUGGGAGAGGGAUGCGGAAUUCCAGGUGUAGCGGUGAAAUGCGUAGAUAUCUGGAGGAACACCGGUGGCGAAGGCGGCUACCUGGACAGAAACUGACGCUGAGGCACGAAAGCUAGGGGAGCAAACAGG